UUUAUGGUGAUAUCUGCAACACAAGCUGUCCGUCCAAUUGUAAAGAGACUAUAUGUAAUCAGACCAGUGGGUUAUGUACAGAAUGUGGACCAAGGUUUUAUGGCAUUGACUGUAAGCAGACCUGUCCGGCCCACUGUCGACACUCACUAUGUGUCAGAAGUAGCGGGCAUUGUUCAGCAUGUGAACCUGGUUUCUUUGGACUAAAUUGUAAUAUGUCAUGUUCUGGUCAUUGUGAAUGCCAACAGAACAACGGAACGUGCAUAGCUUGUAACAGUGGAUAUUUUGGACUUAACUGUGAAGAGAAAUGUGGGCAGUGCAGUGCUGUGUCAUGCAGCAGGUCUGACGGACAAUGCUUAUGUAGCGACAUGGCACACGGGACAUGCGGGUGUAAACAUGGCUGGGAAGGAGAGAAGUGCACUACAAAGAAGGUAAUGGAAGUCUAACACGACCAAACAGGAACGUACGCUGGGGCUGGUGUUGGGGCAGUGAUUGUGAUUGUUCUUGUUGUUAUAGCAACUGUCAUCAUCCUUAGAAGGAAACGAUUACCAAAACACAAAAAAGAAAAACACCGUGAAGACAGAGGCAAGACGUUUGCAAAUGUAGAGUCUUUACCAAUCCCGUUUGAAACGUCAGACACGCAAACAGAUAGUGGAGAUACCACAAGUGAAGACAGACAGGUUUACGUGAACGUACAUGACAUUGAU